rnacentral:rRNA from 1 species
GACGAACCGUGCGAACGUUAUUCGGAAUCACUGGGCUUAAAGGGCUCGUAGGCGGCCAACUAAGUCAGACGUGAAAUCCCUCGGCUUAACCGGGGAACUGCGUCUGAUACUGGAUGGCUUGAGAUUGGGAGAGGGAUGCGGAAUUCCAGGUGUAGCGGUGAAAUGCGUAGAUAUCUGGAGGAACACCGGUGGCGAAGGCGGCAUCCUGGACCAACACUGACGCUGAGGAGCGAAAGCCAGGGGAGCAAACGGG